rnacentral:rRNA from 1 species
AUUGAACGCUGGCGGCAUGCCUUACACAUGCAAGUCGAACGGUAACAGGUCUUCGGAUGCUGACGAGUGGCGAACGGGUGAGUAAUACAUCGGAACGCGCCCGAUCGUGGGGGAUAACGAAGCGAAAGCUUUGCUAAUACCGCAUAAGAUCUACGGAUGAAAGCAGGGGACCGCAAGGCCUUGCGCGAACGGAGCGGCCGAUGGCAGAUUAGGUAGUGGGUGGGAUAAAAGCUUACCAAGCCGACGAUCUGUAGCUGGUCUGAGAGGACGACCAGCCACACUGGGACUGAGACACGGCCCAGACUCCUACGGGAGGCAGCAGUGGGGAAUUUUGGACAAUGGGCGAAAGCCUGAUCCAGCCAUGCCGCGUGCAGGAUGAAGGCCUUCGGGUUGUAAACUGCUUUUGUACGGAACGAAAAGACUCUUUCUAAUAAAGAGGGUCCAUGACGGUACCGUAAGAAUAAGCACCGGCUAACUACGUGCCAGCCGCCGCGGUAA